rnacentral:rRNA from 1 species
AUACUUAGUGGCGAACGGGUGAGUAUAAUGUGGGUAUCUGCCUUUUGGUGAGGAAUAACAUGGGGAAACCUGUGCUAAUACCUCAUAAGCCUUUACAGGGAAAGUUUUAACGCCGAAAGAUGAGCCCGCACUUGAUUAGCUAGUUGGUAAGGUAAUGGCUUACCAAGGCUACGAUCAAUAGCUGAUCUGAGAGGAUGAUCAGCCACAUUGGGACUGAGACACGGCCCAAACUCCUACGGGAGGCAGCAGUAGGGAAUAUUGCACAAUGGGGGAAACCCUGAUGCAGCGAUGCCGCGUGAGUGAAGAAGGCCUUUGGGUUGUAAAGCUCUUUCGUCGAGGAAGAAAAUGACUGUACUCGAAUAAGAAGGUCCGGCUAACUUCGUGCCAGCAGCCGCGGUAAUACGAAGGGACCUAGCGUAGUUCGGAAUUACUGGGCUUAAAGAGCUCGUAGGUGGUUAGAAAAGUUGAUGGUGAAAUCCCAAGGCUUAACCUUGGAACUGCCAUCAAAACUUUUUGACUAGAGUGUGAUAGAGGAAAGUGGAAUUUCUAGUGUAGAGGUGAAAUUCGUAGAUAUUAGAAAGAACACCGAUUGCGAA